UAAAAGAAAAACAAAUGAAAUAAAAAAAUAGAAAAAGAGAAGAAGAACAGAAUAGAAACAGAGAAAGAGACGAAAAACAGGGGAAGAAAAAAAGGGAAAGAAAAGAAAAGGGGAAAUUGAGAUUUUUAAGCUUCAAGUUAAUUGGUAAGCUAAAUUUAGUCCUUUUCUCUUCAUUUUGAUGUUUUUUUGGAACCCUAGAGUGAAAUACUCUUGGAUUUAAGUUGAAAAUUUGAAAGUUAAUAGAUUUUUUUUGAGUAGGGUUUAUGUUGAAUAAAUGAUGGAAUUGAGGAUUUAAUUGAUAGAGUUUCUAGUUAGAGUUGAUAAAAGGAUUAAAUUGUGAACUAAACUAUAAGUUUUGAAUUUUAGGGAUUAAAUUGAGGGAAAUUCGAAAUUAGUGAAAAAUGCUGAAAAAAAUUAGUAGAUAAAAUUUAGUUUGGAUGAAAUUUGAAUAGAAAUAGAGUGUGAAUUAAAUUGGAAAAGUAAAUAAAUUUAGUUAGGAUUAAAUUGGAAUUAAAGUAUAAAUUAGAUAGAAAUUCUAUUAUUAUUAUAAAUUAAUGUUGUAAUUGAUGGUGUAAAUUAUUAUUAUUUUCGUAGCUAAGAAGGAACUCGAGGCAUCGGCACACAAAAGAAAGGAGAAGGUUAUUGAGGAAUAAUUGAGCAAAAUUCGGGUUUGUAUUACUAUAAUUCAAAUCUAUUUAUUAUUAUUGUUAUAUUUUAAUUAAAAUGCAUGGUAAGUAGAAUUAGGUAAGCAAUUGAAAUGAUAGUAGUAAUUAGUAAUUAGAAUUUGGUUGGAAAUUAAAUUUAAAAUAUGAAUUAAAUAAAGAGAAUUAAUUUAUGAAUAUUUGUGAAUAUGUGAAUUGUGUAUUGAUUGAAAAGUGGUUUGAAUUGAAUCAAAAUAUGAUUAUAUGUGAUUAUUUGAAAUAUGUAUUGGUAUUAAAUUGUUAAUUGAUUAGAAAGUGGAAAAGUGAUCUUGAAUUGGAAAUGAAAGUGAAUUGAGAAUUUGAAUACCCUAUUAACUAGUCGGGCUAAGUCGGAUAUAGUUGGCAUGUCAUAGGAUUUGGAUGAGUACGGGAUUUAUCGGCCUUGCCGACCAGGCACUUUAUGUGUCGUAUCUCAGGCACUUUAUGUGUCUUAUAUCAGGCACCUCGUGUGUCGUAUCAGGCACCUCGUGUGUUGUUUCAGGCACUUAUAUGUCAUAUACUGAUCAGGUACUAUGUACCGUUUUAGGCACAAUGUGCCGUACUGGUGUGUUGGGUUGAAAUCCGUGUAUCCGUCAAAGUCCAGAUUGUUAAUAGGGUGAAUAAUUGAAUAUGAUAAAAUUUAAAAUUGCGGAUUGAAAUUAAUAUUGAAAAUGAAAGGCAUGAAAUUAAUGCUUAUGUUGUGAUUGAAAUUAUUACAUGUGAUAUGUGAUUGAAAUUGAAGAACAGUUAAAAUUGUAUUGUUAUUGUUAAUUAAUGAAAAUUUAUAAAUUAAUUGAUAUUUAAGAAAUCGAAUAAUUACAUUGCUUGGUAAUUGUAAUUCUUUAUUGCUAUUAUAAUUUGAAUUAUGGUAAUACCACUGAGUAUAAAAUACUCAGCGUACGGUUGUUUUCGUGCGCAGGUUGAAAAGGGGUUAGAGUCUCGGUUCAGCAUCCAAGACAAUCCCGACUCCGACAUAAAAAUUUUGGUGAUGUUUUCUUUCUUUAAGAAAAAGUGGCAUGUACAUAAGAAUUAUAAUAGUUAUUUUGGUAUGUUAUAUAGUUUUGUUGUAAAGUAAGAUAUUAUGUGUUUUGAUGAUUAUGUUAGUAAAUUGGUAGAAGUUCUUUAUGACAUUGGUAUUAAAUUAAAAUGGCUUGAUUAGUUUUAUGUGUUAAUUAGAAAUGAUAAUAGGAUUUUUAUUAAUUAAGUUGUUAUGUCAAUAUGUCAAGUAAGAUUUAAGUAUAUAAAUGCUUUGGUUGAAAUACUGGAAUUGGGUUAGUUAUGUUUGAAAUUUUGCAGGGGGUUAUAUAUAAAAAUAAGCAGAAAUUUUUAUUAAAAAAAACGAAUGAAAUCAAUUAGUAAAAUUAUAUGAAUUUAUGAUUUAUUUUAAUAUGUUGGUUAUUUAUUUAAGAAUUAUAUGUAAAUUGUUUGAUAUGUCCGGUAAUGCCUCAUAACCCUGUUCCGGCGAUGGUUUGGGGUUAGGGGGUGUUACAAAAAUAAAGAGAAUUUUAGAUAUUCCAAUUUGGUCCCAUUUUUAUGUUAGUAAAAUUUGUUAUUUUCCCAUUUUACCCUCAUUUCACUAAUUCUCCUGAUUUUUCUCAGCUUAUGCCGCGCAAAAUAUCUCCUUUUGGGCUUAUUUGCAAUUUAUGUCCCUCCUCAUUUAACAAUUGAGUUAUUUAAUCAUUCUAGUAACUUUUACACAUUUUUUAAUUUAGUUCUUUUCACUUAAUUGACUACCCAAACAUUAAAAUUUUCUAACGAAAUUUUAAUACCAUAUUACUAACAUUUCAUAAAUAUUUAUAAAAAUAUUUUUGACUCAGUUUUACGAGAUCGAGGUCUCGAUAUCUUAUUUUUACCCAUUUUCUUCAAUAAUUUCUUUUUCUAACUAACCACUAAAUCAGUAAAAUUUUACUAUCGAUAUUUUCAUACGAUUUUCCUAUCAUAUCAAUAUUCAUGUAAAAAUAUUAAAAUAAAUUUCUCUUUAAAUCGGAUUUGAGGUUACGAAACCACUGUUCUGAUAACCUUGAAUUUAGGCCAUUACAGUGUUGCAACAUGGAGGCCCUACACUUAGUUCGAAGGGAAGAUCGUUCGCAACAUUACAAGGCUUGUUGCCGCAACAUCCAAGUCCAUAUCCAAAAUUGUUGACAGUUACUCAAGGCCAUGUUGUGGAAACUUGGUCCUUCAGUCUUCAUCAAGUCAAUUUUUAAGUAAGGAUAAUUUUGUCAUUUACCUACUGAGUAUAUGUAACAACUCGAUUUCUAGUGGUGUUGAAAAAUACGGUUUUGAAACCCCAUUUUUGUAAACCGAGUUCGUAAAUAUAAAAUAGAAAUAUUUAUGGAGUUAAUAUAAACUAUAUUGAAGUUCAAUUAAAUAAUUUAAUCGAGAAAUUAGUUAAUUAAAGUUUAGGGACUAAUUUGUAAAAGUCUAAUCGCUAUAAAGUCUUAAUAAAGAAAAGAUUUGGGAAUUUAUAUAACAAUUAUCAAAAGGACCAAAAUGGAUAUUUAACCAAGUAUAAAUAGAUCUUAGUGGAGUGUGAUGAUUAGUUUCACUUAAACUAAUUUAGUGAUUAAUAAUAAAUUAAUUAAAGACUAAUUAUAAUUAAUUAAGGUUAAUUAAUCAUUAAUCAUACUAUAUAUGCUAAUAGAUAGUAGAAAGAUGAAAGAAUCAUCAUCUCCCCAAAGUCACCACAGUUCACCAUUUCUAAAAGAAAGAAGAAACCUUCGAAUUCCCUUAAAUAAUCGGCCAAAAAUUCAAGUUUUUAAGUUAUUUUUCUUUGAUUUUUAUAGAAAUUGAAUCAUGGGAGCUUGAUUUAGUUAACCCAUGUAUCAAUUUGUUCAAUUGUUGAAUUUAUAGAAAGUUUCCAUUGUUGAGAAAUUUAUGAAUUAGGCUUUAAAUUGAUAGAAAUUAAGAUUAAAUUAUGAUAAGGACUAAAUUGUAAAGCUUAAUAAGCUUGAUAGAUAACUUUGUAAUAUUAGGGACCAAAUUGAAUAAAUUGGAAAUAUUUCAUCAAACUAUGCUAGGAAUAAAAAGUAUAGAGUUCCUAAUGAAAGAAUGUGAAAUCAGAUUUUGAUUCGAUGCUAAAUAUUGAAAGAUAUGUUUAUACCGAGUAUAGGGACUAAAUUGAAUAAAAUGCAAAAUAAGCUUGACUUUGUAUUUGAAAAUGAAUUGGAUAAAAAUUGAUAUUGUAUAUUUUUUGUAUUAUCGUAUGCAGCUAAAACCGAUAUCAGGUUGUUGAGAGGGAAAGAAAAAACGAGGGUCGUCAACGAGUGAUGCAAAUAUUCGGUUUGUACUUUUAUGAUUCAGGAUCAAAUUAUUUGUUUGCAUAUUCAUGUUAAUUGCAUGAUUUAGUAUAGAUGUGAGUAUAUAAUGGUUGUAUGAACUAAUAUCUUGUGAUUGAUAUUGAAUAUCGAGAUAGUGGACUGAAUUGAAUAAGAUAGAAAGUAGC
rnacentral:lncRNA from 1 species